UUUGCAGGCACCUGGCAAGAGAUGCCCUGGCCCCAACACCUACAAUAUCCUUCCUGGGAGCCGCCUGCAGAGCCCCCGCUCGCCGGCCUUCUCGAUGAGCCGCUCCCCUGCGUUCACCUCCUGGCUCAGCACCUCCCGAACCCCUGGCCCAGCCGCCUACCACGUGGAGGACUGCAACUCACGCUUCCCUUCGGCGCCUGGCGUGGUCAUCCAGGGUGUACGCAGACCCAAGCGCCACGACACAGGCCCCUUCUGCACGCUCUAGAGCCAGCUGGGCACAACCUGCUUGGCCCGGCCACCGAGUGGAACCAUGGCCUCCCCCGGGGCUUUCCCAGGCCUCCCCUGGGACUUGGGGCCCCAGCCUGGCCUUCUGACCCUCUGGGCACCCCGAUGCACCCUUCUGGCUGGCCAACCCUUCUAUGGGCUGUGGACAAGGCUGGCCCAGCCUGGAUCCCCCAUCUGCCCAUCUCCCCGCUACACUGAGAUGCUGUUGGUUUUCCCGAG
rnacentral:lncRNA from 1 species